rnacentral:lncRNA from 1 species
GGGGCUGGUCACGCCCCUCUUGGGCUCCAGCAGCGGCGGCGGCGCCGGCGGCGGGGUGAGUCUAGGAGGGUCGAUUGGGGUGACGCAGGAGCCGGCGCCAGCUCCGGCGGCGGAGGUUCCGACCUCUCCUCCAUCCUCGGGAUAUCCAACAGCGGCGGCGGCGGCAGCGUCAGCGGAGGCGGCGGCAACGGCAACCUCCUGAACGAGAAGCUGAGGAUCCUCACGGACGGGGUGGGCCUGCUGCUCAGGGUCAAGUUCCUCCUGUUCCGGAAACUCUUCGGCCUGAUCGGCGGCGCCUCCGGCUGAACGCACCAGCAAAGACUUCCAAGCGCGCCAGUACAAAACCAACUGAAAUUAACUUUAAAAGCGCUCGCCACCGAUGAAAGCCUCGAGCCUGCGGCGACGGGCUUUAUCUGGUGACGGCGAAGGAGCACUGUGAUUUUAUUCGUAUAAGAUAAAAGCCGAGAGGUGGUGCCGCGGCGCCCUGCCCCUGCCGGAGUGUCGUGCCUGGCGUCCUGCGGCGUCCCAGCAGGAGGCAGGAGAGUUGCUAUCGGACACGCGCCUCUGCCGGGCGGCGGCACGGCACGACACGGCACGACACGGCACGACACGGCACGGCGGCAGGCCCUCCCUGAGUGGCCACCAUAAGAGCCACUCAGUGCAACAACUGCCCCCGUACAACGUCUGUUGUAUUCUGAGAACUAGCGAAAAAAGGAAAACAACGCGUCAUGUUGUUAGAUUAUUUUUCAAGUCCAUUUUGUUAAAAACUACUUUCAAACCAUUCCUUUUUCACUUUUAUUUUUUCAAAAUUUAGACAAUGUGAUUUUUCUACCGAGUGCGAUUCAGCCUGUAAAUAAUAGAUUAAGUGAAUGACUCGCGUGUGAGGCCGCGCCGUGCGUCCGUGUAGACACUGUCUACGACAGCACAUCCGAUUUACAUUAAUGGUAAUUGUAAACUAGAAUUUAUUCCCCCCCCCCUCCAGAGUGUAGAAAUAGUCAUGUCAUUUUCACUAGUAACGGUACGAUGCGUUUAAACGACAUUUGCUCGCUAUCUCGCCCGCCAAUAUCUUUGAUCAUGUCGCCCAUCCGUGUAAUCCUCAUGUCAUAAAGGUGAUAGGGGCGACUGCCGGCAUUCCCAGCCCAUGCGCUGCAGCGCCACGCCAUGGCCAUGCCAUCCUCAUCAUUGUCGUACCGCCUCAUUAGCAGCCCACUUACCAAUUUUGUACAUUUUCUAAGCUUAAUUUUGUCGACGUUUUUAUUUGCUCAUUUGCGGGCGUCGAGUAGGUUUAUGUUGUGUAGGGAGGCUCGCAGCGAAGGGGCCAUGCAGUCACUCUCGAACGUGACGAGAGCUCGAAAUUGAAUCUUGCCAAGAGGCACAGCGCCUACUAUGUGAGAAAGUGUGAUUGUGCUGGAAUUUUCUGUAUCCAGAAGCACAGAGAAAACACUCAUUGUGCGCAAAAUUUCGUUCGACCACCUUUAUCUAAUCGGUUUUCAAUUAUGCGGCAUUUCCUGUUUUGAUCGUGCCACGACAUUUAAUUUUGAGAGUGUGCCCGAGUGUUCAGUAGUGAGGCCACGAAGACGUCCCGUGGGUUCACUACUCGCAUAUUGGGCAUCAACUUGUGCAAUACGUGUAGUUACUAUAUCAUCGAGAAACUAGAGCUGUAUGAAAGAUGAAUGUAAAUAAUAAAAACAUAAAUAAAUAAUUGUAAAUUUA